rnacentral:lncRNA from 1 species
AUGUUCGACGAAGUCACAGAGGAGACAUACAACCUUAAAACCCUUCGUUUUCUCCAGGUCCAGUCUGGAACGCAUAAUGGAGAGGGAAAACCUGGGGCCUGUUUUUGGCAGACUCUAUGUGGUUUAACAAAUUUUGUCCCAGUCUGCGAGCACCUGCGUUCUCCAGCGUCUGUUCCCAUGGUGGGUUGGGGUUUGUGUUCUUAUGCUUUAUUUUGCUUCUCUUGGCAGAUUUGUCCCAGAGCAGCAGAUCUUGCCUCCCCCAAUACAGAUGCAGCCGAUUACCUGCAGCACGGUCCGACCUCCAGCCCCGUCGCCCGUUUUCUCCCCAUCUCUGAUGAUCCCACACACCAGUUUCACGUCCCACCAGACGAGCACCCCAGUUCACCUCCACCAGUGGCCACAGCAACAGGUUCAGCAGCAUCAUCUCUACCUUCAGAUGCAAGGUCGUGAGUCGGUGCCGGGGGGGCCGAACCAGCGCGUUUUCCAGGCAUCUCACGCCCCGCAGCAGAGUCCCAUGGGCUACUUCGUGCACCCGCAGCAGCCGAGCCGCCACGCGCAGGGCCAGCCCUGCAGCCUGCCCGACCUGCCGGAGAUGCCGC